rnacentral:rRNA from 1 species
AACGUUUCGAAAGGAACGCUAAUACCGCAUACGUCCUACGGGAGAAAGCAGGGGACCUUCGGACCUGUAAGCUAUCAGAUGAGCCUAGGUCGGAUUAGCUAGUUGGUCAGUUUAAUAGGCUCACCAAGGCGACGAUCCGUAACUGGUCUGAGAGGAUGAUCAGUCACACUGGAACUGAGACACGGUCCAGACUCCUACGGGAGGCAGCAGUGGGGAAUAUUGGACAAUGGGCGAAAGCCUGAUCCAGCCAUGCCGCGUGUGUGAAGAAGGUCUUCGGAUUGUAAAGCACUUUAAGUUGGGAGGAAGGGUUGUAGAUUAAUACUCUGCAAUUUUGACGUUACCGACAGAAUAAGCACCGGCUAACUCUGUGCCAGCAGCCGCGGUAAUACAGAGGGUGCAAGCGUUAAUCGGAAUUACUGGGCGUAAAGCGUGUGUAGGUGGUUCGUUAAGUUGGAUGUGAAAUCCCCGGGCUCAACCUGGGAACUGCAUCCAAAACUGGCGAGCUAGAGUAUGGUAGAGGGUGGUGGAAUUUCCUGUGUAGCGGUGAAAUGCGUAGAUAUAGGAAGGAACACCAGUGA